AUGAACGCUGGCGGCGUGCUUAAUACAUGCAAGUCGAGCGAACAGACGAGGAGCUUGCUCCUCUGACGUUAGCGGCGGACGGGUGAGUAACACGUGGAUAACCUACCUAUAAGACUGGGAUAACUUCGGGAAACCGGAGCUAAUACCGGAUAAUAUAUUGAACCGCAUGGUUCAAUAGUGAAAGACGGUUUUGCUGUCACUUAUAGAUGGAUCCGCGCCGCAUUAGCUAGUUGGUAAGGUAACGGCUUACCAAGGCGACGAUGCGUAGCCGACCUGAGAGGGUGAUCGGCCACACUGGAACUGAGACACGGUCCAGACUCCUACGGGAGGCAGCAGUAGGGAAUCUUCCGCAAUGGGCGAAAGCCUGACGGAGCAACGCCGCGUGAGUGAUGAAGGUCUUCGGAUCGUAAAACUCUGUUAUUAGGGAAGAACAAAUGUGUAAGUAACUAUGCACGUCUUGACGGUACCUAAUCAGAAAGCCACGGCUAACUACGUG
rnacentral:rRNA from 1 species